AUGCAAGUCGAGCGGUAAGGCCCUUCGGGGUACACGAGCGGCGAACGGGUGAGUAACACGUGGGUGAUCUGCCUUGCACUCUGGGAUAAGCCUGGGAAACUGGGUCUAAUACCGGAUAUGACCACGGAUUGCAUGGUUUGUGGUGGAAAGAUUUAUCGGUGCGAGAUGGGCCCGCGGCCUAUCAGCUUGUUGGUGGGGUAAUGGCCUACCAAGGCGACGACGGGUAGCCGACCUGAGAGGGUGACCGGCCACACUGGGACUGAGACACGGCCCAGACUCCUACGGGAGGCAGCAGUGGGGAAUAUUGCACAAUGGGCGGAAGCCUGAUGCAGCGACGCCGCGUGAGGGAUGACGGCCUUCGGGUUGUAAACCUCUUUCGACAGGGACGAAGCGUGAGUGACGGUACCUGUAGAAGAAGCACCGGCCAACUACGUGCCAGCAGCCGCGGUAAUACGUAGGGUGCGAGCGUUGUCCGGAAUUACUGGGCGUAAAGAGCUUGUAGGCGGUUCGUCGCGUCGAUUGUGAAAACUUGCAGCUCAACUGCAAGCUUGCAGUCGAUACGGGCGGACUAGAGUACUUCAGGGGAGACUGGAAUUCCUGGUGUAGCGGUGAAAUGCGCAGAUAUCAGGAGGAACACCGGUGGCGAAGGCGGGUCUCUGGGAAGUAACUGACGCUGAGAAGCGAAAGCGUGGGUAGCGAACAGGAUUAGAUACCCUGGUAGUCCACGCCGUAAACGGUGGGUACUAGGUGUGGGUUUCCUUCCACGGGAUCCGUGCCGUAGCUAACGCAUUAAGUACCCCGCCUGGGGAGUACGGCCGCAAGGCUAAAACUCAAAGGAAUUGACGGG
rnacentral:rRNA from 1 species